rnacentral:sRNA from 1 species
GUGAUGGUAGCGGCAUCCUUUUUAUCUCGUUUUUAAGAACGAAAUAAAAAGAUAUAGCGGACAGCACGACCUGUA